rnacentral:rRNA from 1 species
UGGGGAAUAUUGGGCAAUGGGCGCAAGCCUGACCCAGCAAUGCCGCGUGAAGGAAGAAGGCUUUCGGGUUGUAAACUUCUUUGACAGGGGAAGAGCAGAAGACGGUACCCUGAAAACAAGCCACGGCUAACUACGUGCC